GACGAACGCUGGCGGCGUGCUUAACACAUGCAAGUCGAACGGAAAGGCCCUGCUUGCAGGGUACUCGAGUGGCGAACGGGUGAGUAACACGUGGGUGAUCUGCCCUGCACUUCGGGAUAAGCCUGGGAAACUGGGUCUAAUACCGGAUAGGAGCCAUUUUUAGUGUGAUGGUUGGAAAGUUUUUUCGGUGUAGGAUGAGCUCGCGGCCUAUCAGCUUGUUGGUGGGGUAAUGGCCUACCAAGGCGGCGACGGGUAGCCGGCCUGAGAGGGUGGACGGCCACAUUGGGACUGAGAUGCGGCCCAGACUCCUACGGGAGGCAGCAGUGGGGAAUAUUGCACAAUGGGCGCAAGCCUGGUGCAGCGACGCCGCGUGGGGGAUGACGGCCUUCGGGUUGUAAACUCCUUUCGCUAGGGACGAAGCUUUUUGUGACGGUACCUAGAUAAGAAGCACCGGCUAACUACGUG
rnacentral:rRNA from 1 species